rnacentral:rRNA from 1 species
GACGAACGCUGGCGGCGUGCCUAAUACAUGCAAGUAGAACGCUGACUACUUUAGCUUGCUAGAGUAGAAGGAGUUGCGAACGGGUGAGUAACGCGUAGGUAACCUGCCUACUAGCGGGGGAUAACUAUUGGAAACGAUAGCUAAUACCGCAUAACAGUGUUUAACACAUGUUAGAUGCUUGAAAGAUGCAAUUGCAUCACUAGUAGAUGGACCUGCGUUGUAUUAGCUAGUUGGUGGGGUAACGGCCCACCAAGGCGACGAUACAUAGCCGACCUGAGAGGGUGAUCGGCCACACUGGGACUGAGACACGGCCCAGACUCCUACGGGAGGCAGCAGUAGGGAAUCUUCGGCAAUGGGGGCAACCCUGACCGAGCAACGCCGCGUGAGUGAAGAAGGUUUUCGGAUCGUAAAGCUCUGUUGUAAGAGAAGAACGUGUGUGAGAGUGG